ensembl:lncRNA
UUUUCUACUUAACGGGUAUAUUCAGGAAGUUUGUUUUUCUUCUUCUGUAACCUUUUCUUAUUCUUUUUUUUCAAAUACAAGGAUAAAAAAAAUAAAAAAUCGAAGACACGUCACUUAUAUGUACACAUAUACGUUACGUUUGGUAUAUAUAUAUAUAUAUAUAGAUAUAUAUAUAUAUAUAUAUGUGUGUGUGCAGUAGGUAUUUACAAUUCAUAACCACAUCACACGUUAACACAUACAUAUACAGUUGUGCACUCAUACUUAUACACAAACCAUAUUAAAAUAUAUUAAAAUAUAUUCAAAUUUAGUUACGCAUCAUCUCUCAUAUAAAAAGAUUGUAAUAAGGUAACGGUUAUACAUUAUCUUAUUAAUUUAUCAGCACAUAAUUAUUAACACGUACAUAUAUACAUUCACACGCAUUCACACGCAUACGCACACAUACACACACAUACACAAGCAUACACAUACGUUCACAUACGUUCACAUACAUACCCGCAAAACACACCUGCAAACAAAAUGAUUAAACAAAAAAGGUCUUAUCCAAAUAUUGAACAGGACGAAAAUAGCAGUAAUGUCGGUGACAACAAUAAUAUGCUUAAAAGGCAACGUAACAACAGUGUUCAUAGCAAUGAUUCUUAUAUGCCUGUGAAUACUGAAGGUAUGAACACUGAUAACAUGAGUGUAGAAGGAAUAAAUAUCGAAGGCUUAGAUGAAAAUACGAAAUUAAAUUAUACUAAUAAUAGUAAUAUUGAGCUUUUAAUUCCUUAUUGUAUUCUUUUACCAAAUAAAGCUAUUGGUUUUGUUAUUGGUAAAUUAGGUUCGAAUGUUCGUGAAAUUGAAAAAGCAUGUGGUUCUAUUAUUAAAUGUCAAAAAGAGUUUGAUAUAAAUGUUUAUCCACCUCCAUCUGAAAAAAUUUUAACUAUAUUUGGUAAAAAAGAAAAUAAAAAAAAAGCAUUAGAUUUAGUUUUAACAAAAUCAAAAACAGUAAUGGAUUUUCAAGAAGAAGAUGGUAAAGAAUCUAUAGUUAUAAUAGUACCUACCAGAUCUAUUCCUAUUAUUAUUGGACAAAAAGGAUCAAAAAUUACUUCAUUAUCUGAACAGUCAGGUUGUGAUAUUAAUGUUCAUAAAGAUGACGUUCCAGGUAUUAAAGAUAAAGCUAUUUUUAUUAAAUCCAAACAAAUUAAUCAAAUUAUUGACUGCAUUGCUAUGAUUUAUGAUUUAUUACAAGAUACGGUAGAGCAUGGAUUAUUACAUUUAGAUGAAUUUCCAGGAGUAGCAAAAGGUCAUAAUGUUCAUUCACAUGGUAAUGCGAAUGUUUCAAGUAAUGUUGGUUCUGGUUCUGCUUCAGGUUCUGGGUCAGGUUCAGUUGUAGGUUUAGGUCCUGGUUCAGGACCUGGUGUAGGUUCAGGAUCAGGUCCAAUUUUAGAAAUUGGUUCAUUUCCUGGAAAUAACACUAAUACAUAUAAUAAUAACAGUAACAAUACAUCAAACGAUUUUAUGAACAAAAAUGGAUAUAUUAAUAAUAAUGUAGGUAAUAAUAUGGGUGGAAAAAAUUAUUCGAAUAACGAGAUAGGGAAUGGAGGUUAUAUGCGAAGCAACUCAACAAGUAAUCCUUCUUUUGGAAAAGGUAAAAUCAAUAACAUGAGCAUAAACAACAUGAACAACAAUAUGAACAAUGCUAACUUUAAAACACAAACAAAAACAGAUCACUUAGUUAACAAUUAUGAUUCUUUUAUGACCGAAGCAUAUGAUAAUUUUAAUGUACCCAAAGAAAAAAAUUUAUUAUUACAUAAGAUUGGAAAAGAAGUAAGUUCAAGUGUAAUUAGAUUUGUUUUGGAUGUAGAAACAACUGCAUGGAUAAUUGGUAAAGCAGGUUGUCAUAUAAAAGAA